GACGAACGCUGGCGGCGUGCUUAACACAUGCAAGUCGAACGGUAAGGCUCCAGCUUGCCGGGGUACACGAGUGGCGAACGGGUGAGUAACACGUGGGUGACCUGCCCUGCACUUCGGGAUAAGCCUGGGAAACUGGGUCUAAUACCGGAUAGGACCAUGGUGUGGAUACUGUGGGGGAAAGUUUUUUCGGUGUGGGAUGGGCCCGCGGCCUAUCAGCUUGUUGGUGGGGUAAUGGCCUACCAAGGCGGCGACGGGUAGCCGGCCUGAGAGGGUGGACGGCCACAUUGGGACUGAGACACGGCCCAGACUCCUACGGGAGGCAGCAGUGGGGAAUAUUGCACAAUGGGCGGAAGCCUGAUGCAGCGACGCCGCGUGGGGGAUGACGGCCUUCGGGUUGUAAACUCCUUUCGCCAUCGACGAAGGGUUUCUGACGGUAGAUGGUGAAGAAGCACCGGCUAACUACGUG
rnacentral:rRNA from 1 species